rnacentral:ncRNA from 2 species
GCUAAGUCACGUGGAGAUUUGAGCCGGAUUGCGGGCCACGUUAAAUAUACCGCUAAAGAGGUCGAGGUUUUUACCAA